UAGAAGUGAGAAAAAUUGAGGAAAACAAAGAAGAAGAAGAAAAUCGGCUAAGGAAAAAAAUAGGGAGAAAAUUAAAAUCUUGCUCCAAAAAAUAUUUCCUCCUAGUAUUUCUACUAAUUCAAGGAUCCUCUACGACAUGAUGAAGUUAUUUUGGAAGAUAGGAGGCUUGUUUGGUUGAUUUGAAGCUUUGGUAAAGUGAAGAAGUUGGAAGGAAAAGACCCCCUUUCUUCGGGGGGGCUGCGUUACAUGCCCGCAGGUACCGAAGUUCAAUUUGCUGAUCCAUCUGUUUAGGAUAUUUAUUGCGUCGUUGACAGUGCUCCCUUGUUCGGAGCUUGUAUUUUGGUACUGACUUUAUCUCUGUAUAUUUGGAUAUUUUGGUCAGGGGUACGACGGGGCUCUGUCCCAUCAUAUGACUAUGCUAUCAUCUGUAGAGGUCUGUAGACAGAUUUAUGUUGUGGGUUUUGUAUAUAUGGUUUGGGUUUUGUGUGUUUUGUGACGGACUAUCAUCCCUCGUGCCUACAUCUAUUUUUUUGAUCUAUUUAAAAA